rnacentral:rRNA from 1 species
CCUACGGGUGGCUGCAGUGAGGAAUAUUGGUCAAUGGCCGAGAGGCUGAACCAGCCAAGUCGCGUGAGGGAAGACGGCCCUACGGGUUGUAAACCUCUUUUGUCGGGGAGCAAAGAGAGUCACGUGUGACUCAUUGAGAGUACCCGAAGAAAAAGCAUCGGCUAACUCCGUGCCAGCAGCCGCGGUAAUACGUAGGGAGCGAGCGUUGUCCGGAAUUACUGGGUGUAAAGGGAGCGUAGGCGGGACUGCAAGUUGGGUGUCAAAUCUACCGGCUCAACCGGUAGCCGCACUCAAAACUGCAGUUCUUGAGUGAAGUAGAGGCAGGCGGAAUUCCUAGUGUAGCGGUGAAAUGCGUAGAUAUUAGGAGGAACACCAGUGGCGAAGGCGGCCUGCUGGGCUUUUACUGACGCUGAGGCUCGAAAGUGUGGGGAGCAAACAGGAUUAGAUACCCGAGUAGUC